GGAAAAUGUUCUUGGUUUUCAUUAUUUAAGAGCAAUUUUUUUCAAGCCCAAACAAUAAGCCGUUCAUAUGAAGUUUCUAAACUUUCGCAAGCAACAUUAGCAGAAAAUGGGCUGGCUGGGCUUCAGUGUUUCGAAUAGAACGGGCCCAAACUUCAACCCAAAUGGAAUUGUGAGCAAGGCCCAUUUAGGUGUGUCUAGGGUUUACUUAUAUAAACAAUCCCCCGUGACCCAUGUUAUAAGUUAGGGUUUGCCCGGUUUGGAAAGCAGAAGCUAGGGUUUGAUCACCAUGAGGGCCAAGUGGAAGAAGAAGCGCAUGAGGAGGUUGAAGAGGAAGCGCCGAAAGAUGAGGCAGAGAUCCAAGUAGAACCAUCUUGUGGUUUUCAUGUUCUAGGGUUUUGGUUACAUUUCUAGCUUCUGUAAACGAACCAGUUGUUGGAUUUGGUUAUUAAUUUUGUGUUUUAUGUGAUUUACUUGACCUCCGUUUGGUUCUUGGAAAAAAAUGGAAGAAAAAGAAAAUGCUUAGAAGGCUACUCGAUUGAGGGUUUUAAGAAUUUUCUAUAUUUUUCUCAAAAAAAAAACCUGGAAUGGAACUGGAUGCGAGUAGAUUUUGGUUGUUUUUGUGUUAGGGUUUUGUUUGGUUGGUAUCUCAAUUUAGUGCUAUGUGGAUUUCGCGUCAAA